UCCUUUAAUUUUCGCGUGGUUAAAUAAAUAAGGAACUAGUUGCUCUGACCAAUUAGAAAGCUUCUAGAUGAUCGUAUGAUGUAUGGCGUCAUUUUUCGGUUGGAAAUCAGCACGAAGGAACAUAUCGCCGGUUCGUGAUUCCUACUACGCAAUUAACAUUUAAUUGCGUCGAUAUCUCGAAGUUAUGAUUUAUUGCAUAUACACGCCAUGAUAAUUUAUUGCCAACAAUUUUCUUUUAAUAUCAGAUUAUUAGCCGAUUGUUAAAUUGCUGAAUUCCGAAGGCGGGAAAAAUUCCAAUAUGGACGCCAAUAUUGCUUUUUCAUGAAGAUACGGUAAAGUUUGAUAUUUUAUAUAUAUAUAUUUGUUCUAUUUUCAUUAUUAGCGAUUGUUGUUAAGUAAUUCAUACUUUUUCUUUAUUCCUGAAAAAUUAAUAAUCAAUUCGAAACAUUUUUGGAAAAAAAUGCUCGAUAGAACAAAAUAAAAUAUCGAAAUGAUAUUUCUUUUUUUUUUUAUCAUAUCUCUUUCCUACUAAUACAAUUUUAUUUUCAAAGAAUUUUUAUGACUGCGUGCAAUGCAGUUAGUAGAGUCAGUGUUUGUUUCGUAAUAUUUUUCAUAUUCUUUAGAGUAUAAAUGCUCUCUUUAUUAUAUUUAUUAUAAUUUAAUUAUAAUUAUACGCGAAAUUAAAUUCAGUGUUUGUUCAGUGAUUAUAAUUUAAACGGAUGUGUUAAUAGUCUUUUAUUUAUUUAUUUUUUUCCUUCUUUCGUUCUCGAUACAGAAUAGAGUCAGUGCUUCUCUCAAGAACAUACGAUAAUCAUCCAUCACGCGAAGAGAUCUUGCUAUCGGAUGACUUCUCUGUGAAUUUUUAUGGAUCACGGCAAUAUCGAUGACAAUGCAGAUUCUUCGCAUCUAAUGGUGAGUCGCAUGCAUUUGGUUCCUCCAAUCACUCAAUCAUGUCGUAGGAUGAAAGGUCCGAAUCGACACGGGUGACUGGUUGUAUACAUAGAAUUUUGCACGAGCACAGUGACCAUGAGUAUUUAUAUUCAUGAAUAGUAACAUAUUCUGUAUUUUAUUUAUUAGAUCAGGCUAGAUCUUCUUGCAUAUCGCGUUUUUAAUAUUAAUUUAUUCUAAUAAUAAUACAUUGAUACG